AUUGAACGCUGGCGGCAGGCUUAACACAUGCAAGUCGAACGGUAACAGGAAGCAGCUUGCUGCUUCGCUGACGAGUGGCGGACGGGUGAGUAAUGUCUGGGAAGCUGCCUGAUGGAGGGGGAUAACUGCUGGAAACGGUAGCUAAUACCGCAUAAUGUCGCAAGACCAAAGAGGGGGACCUUCGGGCCUCUUGCCAUCGGAUGUGCCCAGAUGGGAUUAGCUUGUUGGUGGGGUAACGGCUCACCAAGGCGACGAUCCCUAGCUGGUCUGAGAGGAUGACCAGCCAGACUGGAACUGAGACACGGUCCAGACUCCUACGGGAGGCAGCAGUGGGGAAUAUUGCACAAUGGGCACAAGCCUGAUGCAGCCAUGCCGCGUGUAUGAAGAAGGCCUUCGGGUUGUAAAGUACUUUCAGCGGGGAGGAAGGGAGUAAAGUUAAUACCUUUGCUCAUUGACGUUACCCGCAGAAGAAGCACCGGCUAACUCCGUG
rnacentral:rRNA from 1 species